GAUGAACGCUAGCGGGAGGCCUAACACAUGCGAGCCGAGCGGUCUUGUUUCUUCGGAAAUGAGAGAGCGGCGUACGGGUGCGUAACACGUGUGCAACCUGCCUGUAUCUGGGGAUAGCCUGUCGAAAGGAAGAUUAAUACUCCAUAAUAUAUUGAACGACAUCGUUUAAUAUUGAAAGCUCCGGCGGAUAGAGAUGGGCACGCGCAAGAUUAGCUAGUUGGUGAGGUAACGGCUCACCAAGGCGAUGAUCUUUAGGGGACCCGAGAGGGUGAUCCCCCACACUGGUACUGAGACACGGAGCAGACUCCUACGGGAGGAAGCAGUGAGGAAUAUUGGUCAAUGGGUGCAAGCCUGAACCAGCCAUCCCGCGUGAAGGACGACUGCCCUAUGGGUUGUAAACUUCUUUUGUAUAGGGAUAAACCUACCCUCGUGAGGGUAGCUGAAGGUACUAUACGAAUAAGCACCGGCUAACUCCGUGCCAGCCGCCGCCGUAA
rnacentral:rRNA from 1 species